rnacentral:rRNA from 1 species
UACGUAGGGUCCAAGCGUUAUCCGGAAUCACUGGGCGUAAAGCGUGCGUAGGCGGCGUGUUAAGUGUGAUGUUAAAUCGUGUGGCUCAACCAUAUCGAUGCAUUGCAUACUGGCAUGCUAGAGGAAGGCAGAGGCAAGUGGAAUUGGCAGUGUAGCAGUGAAAUGCGUAGAGAUUGCCAGGAACACCAAUGGCGAAGGCAGCUUGCUGGGACGUUACUGACGCUGAGACGCGAAAGCGUGGGGAGCAAACAGG